AAGGAAUAUUGGUCAAUGGGCGCAAGCCUGAACCAGCCAUGCCGCGUGCAGGAUGAAGGCCCUCUGGGUUGUAAACUGCUUUUAUCUGGGAAGAAACACCCCGUUUCUACGGGGCUUGACGGUACCAGAGGAAUAAGCACCGGCUAACUCCGUGCCAGCAGCCGCGGUAAUACGGAGGGUGCAAGCGUUAUCCGGAUUUACUGGGUUUAAAGGGUGCGUAGGCGGGCCUUUAAGUCAGUGGUGAAAUCUCCCGGCUUAACCGGGAAACUGCCAUUGAUACUAUUGGUCUUGAAUUCAGUUGAGGUGGGCGGAAUGUGUCGUGUAGCGGUGAAAUGCUUAGAUAUGACACAGAACACCAAUUGCGAAGGCAGCUCGCUAAACUGACAUUGACGCUGAGGCACGAAAGCGUGGGGAUCAAAC
rnacentral:rRNA from 1 species